GGCUCUUCUUGUCGAAAAAAGUAGCUACUGAUCCACGAAUUGCACUGAAUGAUACAGUGAAUCCUCAAUCAAAUUCAAUUCGUGAGGAGUUUCGAAACUAAAACUAAAAUGCCGGCAGCUCAUCAUUUUACCCGGAUAGACACAGCAGAGCUGAAAUUGGAGAUUGAGAGGAAGCUUGGGCACCCAAAAGCACAGAAGUAUUUUGAUCUCCUCACAAAGUUUCUGAGUCUUAAGAUUAGCAAAUCUGAUUUUGAUAGA
rnacentral:misc_RNA from 1 species